rnacentral:rRNA from 1 species
UACGUAGGGGGCAAGCGUUGUCCGGAUUUAUUGGGCGUAAAGGGCUCGUAGGCGGUUUGUCGCGUCGGGAGUGAAAACUCAGGGCUUAACUCUGAGCCUGCUUCCGAUACGGGCAGACUAGAGGUAUGCAGGGGAGGACGGAAUUCCUGGUGUAGCGGUGAAAUGCGCAGAUAUCAGGAGGAACACCGGUGGCGAAGGCGGUUCUCUGGGCAUUACCUGACGCUGAGGAGCGAAAGUGUGGGGAGCGAACAGG